AGAGAGGCUGUCAUACAUCACGGUUGCACAGCAGCUGGGGGAGCCGGGAUUUGAACUCAAGACUCCAAAGCCCUUUCUCCUUGCCUUGCCCAAGAUGCCCUCUUAUGAGAUCGGCAGGCAGCCUUGUUAUCAUUCAGCAGCUAAAGCUGUGGCCAGAGGAAGGUGGAAAGGUGAGGACACACUGCUUCUCCUCACAGUCCAGCGAGUCCCUGCCCGACUCCUGCCCUGCCUCAGGGGAGGGAAACACAAAAAGGCAGAUCCUUUCCUGGUGCUGGACACACCCCGUGACGUGUCCCAGGGGUACAUGGAUGCCUCUGUCAUGAGUGAGCCUUCGAGGCCGGGCGAGCACCAAGCGUCUUGCAGUGCUGAGACACACCUGGGGCCAGGCUCCUCCUUCAGGGAGGAAGAAAGAUGUGGCAAGAUGAGUAAUGAGGCCGGGCAGGGAGGAACCUGGCUGGUUUCAGUUAACGCAGGUUUGGGGAAGCACCCAGCUAGCUUCAGUUCAGGACACCACUAGGCGAGGAGGGCACCUCUCUUCACGGUUCUGUUCCAUCGUGAUGUCUGUCCUAAGCAAAUGCUGUCUAUGAUCCUUCUGCAAUCUUAGUGCCCCAGAAGUGGCUAGGGAUCCUUGAUUUGGCCAUAAUGUCCUGCAGAUUGGACCUUAUUUCCAUCUCCCCAGAAGCUUUUUGGAAACAAGAAAGGCCAUUUCAGAGUACAGGUGCAAGAGGGCCACAGAAGAGCCUGAGGCUGAUGCCAAGCUGAUGGGGUGAAUCUAGUCCACAUGACCCUAGAAGGAAUAUGUCUGACUUCCUGCUCCAAGACUAUGGGAGGGGAAGGAGGCAGGAGGUAGAAAAGGGGGAGGCAGUGUCUGCCUGGCUGGGUUUUAGGGCAAGGGGCAGGAGGAGGGUAGGGUACAGGCCAAGGCUAGCACGACAUCAGCCCUGGCUGGACAGAGGUGCUGCUGCCGGCAAGAACCCACCCUCAUCCUCAUCCUCAUCUGUUGCCCACUAAAAACUCCAUGGUUUCCACAGAAACAAAACGAGUCCCAUCUGCAGGUGGGGCAAUCCUCUUGUCCCUCUUUCUGCCUCACCCUCGUUUCUCACUGCCUGUCUCCUCCCUCUCCCUUCUUCUUUUGCAUCUCUGUCUUCCCCUGAACCUCUUCCACACCGCCAUUCCCUUAUCUCCACUCUCCUUCCUCCCCCUCCCAUCCUGCUCAUGCCCAUUUGAAAUGGGAGCACACACUGGGCACACUCUGCAGUGCCCCCUCAGGCGCUCCCAACCCUGGCAGCUGUGCCAUAAGCUGCCAAUUCGUCUCAAUAUUCUAUUUUACCAUUCUGGCAAUUUUCAGCUAUGCAUGAGAUCUCUCAGAAUAUUGCCUUUGCUUUACUUCUAGGUGUGGCAUUAGGACUAAGUCUGGGCCAGUGAAAAGUCAGCAGGUAUGCUGUGUGCAACUUUCUUUUUUAUUUUAGAGAUGCGAACUCAAACUCCUGACUCAAGCAAUCCUUCCACCUCAGCCUCCCCAGAAGCAGAGACAACAGGCCGGUGCCACCAUGCCCAGCAUAGUGUCCAACUUUUUAGAAGUGACCACAGAUAAAGGCAAUGUGCCUCAGUCUUUCCUUUCCACCAUCCUUGUUAGCAGGAAUGUGGACAUGAUGGCCGGAGCUCAUGCAGCCACUUUGGCAUAUGAAGUCUAUGUCUCAGCCAGUGUAUCUACUUCCCAGGAUCUGCUCAAGUGUGGUUCCUCUGCUCAGUACCACAUUAAACUUCUGAGAGGAUCACCUGACAUCACCACCUUCUUGUAAACCAUGAAAGAGUUUUUAUUUUUUUAAAUGAGGUUCAUUGAGUUUCAUGCCAUCUGGUGGCAGAGAUUACUGUGCCAUGACAUUUCACCUGCCUGGCCAGGCUGGGCCCAUGGUGGUGGAUGUUCCUGACUUCCCAUGUUGCUUGUAGGCACAACCCAACAGCACAUUGCUUCAUGCCUCGCGUCACAUGCCUCCCACCACCUGCCUCAGGGCUUCCCUGUUACUGUGAAGAGCAAGAAACCCGGGGAUCUACUCAUUCAGGUAGACACACGGCCUUUCCAGACAAGGUCUGUUGGGCUGAGAUGGGCAGGUGGAGAGUCCCCCUGACUCACACCCGCUCACUUACUGGCCCCAGGUCCUGUGUUCACAAUGCAGAUGCUCCUGCUGCUGUUUCAGGAGCUGCUUUUCCCAGCUAGGAGAUGCCAGCUGGUGCCACCUGGAAGUGUGGAGUCCUGCUGCCCCGUGAAGCCAACUUUGACUAAUGGGGGACAUGGCCAGGCAAAUUUUUCUCCCUUCUUCUCAUAUGUAUUAUUCCAAGCCCCAGUGGGCCUUUCUAGAGACACUCUGUGAAACUAAACAAUUAGCUGCAUUUGUUGAAAGCUGGGGCCGGCCUCGUAAAGCACCCCUUUGUAUUCUACUCCUUCCUUCUCGGCCUCACCUCUUUCCC
rnacentral:lncRNA from 1 species